rnacentral:rRNA from 1 species
CAAUAGCGUAUAUUAAAGUUGUUGCAGUUAAAAAGCUCGUAGUUGAAUUUCGGGUCCCCGCGCUCGGCGCUUCAUUGUGCCGUCGUGGUGUCCCUCCUCGCCGUAAGGCGUCCUUUACUGUGAAAAAAUUAGAGUGUUCAAAGCAGGCAAUCGCUUGAAUACAUUAGCAUGGAAUAAUAAGAUAGGAUCUUGUCUAUUUUGUUGGUUGCGGACAACGAUAAUGAUUAAUAGGGAUAGUUGGGGGUGUCCGUAUUGAGCUGUCAGAGGUGAAAUUCCUGGAUUUGCUCAAGACGAACUACUGCGAAAGCAUUCACCAAGGAUGUUUUCAUUAA